rnacentral:rRNA from 1 species
UACGGGGGGUGCGAGCGUUGUCCGGAAUCACUGGGCGUAAAGGGCGCGUAGGUGGUUUGAUAAGGGUGUGGUGAAAGCCCGGGGCUCAACCCCGGGUCUGCCGUGCCGACUGUCAAACUCGAGGGCUGUAGAGGCAGACGGAAUUCCGGGUGUAGCGGUGGAAUGCGUAGAGAUCCGGAGGAAGACCGGUGGCGAAGGCGGUCUGCUGGGCAGUUUCCGACACUGAUGCGCGACAGCGUGGGGAGCAAACAGG